UAGGGGUCAUUAGAGGGUUCUGGGUGGUUGCUAUGUAGUUCUUAGGGGAUUCGGGGUGGUUACUAGGGUGUUGCUAGGAGUCAUUAGAGGGUUCUGGGUGGAUUCUUCUUGUUAGGGGAUUUGGGGUGGUUACUAGGGUGUUGCUAGGAGUCAUUAGAGGGUUCUGGGUGGAUUCUUCUUGUUAGGGGUUUGGGGUGGUUACUAGGGUGUUGCUUGGAGUCAUUAGAGGGUUCUGGGUGGAUUCUUCUUGUUAGGGGUUUGGGGUGGUUACUAGGGUGUUGCUAGGAGUCAUUAGAGGGUUCUGGGGGGUUGCUAUGUAGUUCUUAAGGGAUUCGGGGUGGUAAUUAGGGUGUUGCUAGGGGUCAUUAGAGGGUUCUGGGUGGUUGCUAUGUAGUUCUUAGGGGGUUCUGGGUGGUUACUAGGGUGUUGCUAGAAGUCAUUAGAUGGUUCUGGGUGGAUUUUUGUUGUUAGCGGUUCGGGGUGGUUACUAGGGUGUUGCUUGGGGUCAUUAGAGGGUUCUGCGUAGUUGCUAGGUAGCUGUUAGGGAGUUCUAGGUACUUCACCCCUCACAACACUCUUAUCUUCAGGUCUGUAGAUGUGGCUCGGUUCCCUCCUUCAAAGUAAGCCUGUGAGAUUUUUUUAAACCCAUUUUUUUUUUGUCCAGCAGGUGAAAAUAUUUAGGGUCACUUAUAAGUACUAAUGCUUAGUGUUUUGAACAAACUCCUAGCACUGAGCACUAGUAACAGUGAUGCUUGACUUAAAAAAAAAAAAGUAAUAACACGAUCAUCAUUUCCAGCAUGAGUUGAUCAUCUGUAAUACCUGCCGUCCCACCCAGUCUAACAGACACAAAAGAUCUGCUCAUUCCUUCUUCUGCUUCAUGUGUUCAGAACAAAUAGUGAUCAGCUGCUAAACACGUCACGUUUGCUUUCUACGCAGGCAGGAAGCAGUGAUGUGAAACUGCCACCAUGCCAUUUUAUGGAUUGACGUAAUAAAGCACAAACAUUCUGACAUGAUCAUCUAACAUGUUUCAUGGAAGAAAGAAAUUAAUAUGGUUUGGAGUGACACGUUGAAAUAAAAAAAAUCAUAAUGAUGACAAAACCAGACAAAAUUACCAGAUAAAAUGUAAAAAAGUCAUAAUUAUGGAUAAAAAAGUAAACAUUUUGGAAUUAUGGCAUAAAAUAUAAUUAUUAAAUAAUAAGUCUAAAUCAUGAAUAGAAUUGAUGUUAUAAAACAAACUUUUUUGUUGAAAAGUCAAAAUUAUUACAAAAUUAAAAUUAUGAGGUUUAAAUUAGUAGAUAAAAGUCAAAAUUAUAACAAAAUGUCAACUAUAAGAGAAGUAAAAAAUGUAAUUAUGAGAAAUCGAAAUUAUGACAAAAACAUCAUCAUGAGAUGAAAAAGUUGACAAAAUGUCAUAAUCAUUAAAAAAAAAAGUCUAAAUGAUGAAAAUAAUAUGGGUUUGCGACAUGUCAUAAUAAAAGUUUAAAAUAUAGGUUAAAAAAUCUCAAAGUAAGACUUUUUUUAGAGGAAAAAAAAAUCUAGAUUGAAAUAAUAAAAAAAUUCGAAAUUAUGACAAAAUGUCAGUUAUGAGAUUAAGAAAAACAAAAUAUGACAUUUAAAAAGUCAUAAUUUUGAGAAAAAGUAGAAAUCUCAAAUCAAAAUUAUGACAUAAAAUGCCAUAAUUAUGAAACAUAAAGUCUUAAUUAUGAAACAUGCUUUUAGAGAUUAACAUUAUAAAACAAACAUUCUGACUAAUAUCAGCUAACAUGUUUUAUGAAAGAAAGGACAUAAGAGUAAUUUAGAUUAGAUCAAACUUUAUUGUCAUUGCGUUAAAUCUAAUCUAAUCUAAAUUACCCUUAUCAUUUCCU
ensembl:lncRNA